GAUGAAGAACGUAGCGAAAUGCGAUAAGUAAUGCGAAUUGCAGAAUUCCAGUGAAUCAUCGAAUCUUUGAACGCACAUUGCGCCCCUUGGUAUUCCAUGGGGCAUGCCUGUUCGAGCGUCAUUUGUACCCUCAAGCUUUGCUUGGUGUUGGGUGUUUGUCCCGCGCGUUUGCGCAGACUCGCCUUAAAUCAAUUGGCAGCCGGCAUGUUAGCCUGGAGCGCAGCACAUUUUGCGCCCCUUUCUAGCUUGUGUUGGCCCCCAUCAAGUCCAUAUAUUUGCUCUUGACCUCGGAUCAGGUAGGGAUACCCGCUGAACUUAAGCAUAUCAAUAAGCGGAGGA
rnacentral:misc_RNA from 1 species